rnacentral:rRNA from 1 species
GAUGAACGCUGGCGGCGUGCCUAAUACAUGCAAGUCGAGCGAACGGACGAGAAGCUUGCUUCUCUGAUGUUAGCGGCGGACGGGUGAGUAACACGUGGAUAACCUACCUAUAAGACUGGGAUAACUUCGGGAAACCGGAGCUAAUACCGGAUAAUAUUUUGAACCGCAUGGUUCAAAAGUGAAAGACGGUCUUGCUGUCACUUAUAGAUGGAUCCGCGCUGCAUUAGCUAGUUGGUAAGGUAUCGGCUUACCAAGGCAACGAUGCAUAGCCGACCUGAGAGGGGGAUCGGCCAACCCGGAACUGAGACCCGGUCCAGACUCCUACGGGAGGCAGCAGUAGGGAAUCUUCCGCAAUGGGCGAAAGCCUGACGGAGCAACGCCGCGUGAGGGAUGAAGGUCUUCGGAUCGUAAAACUCUUUUAUUAGGGAAAAAAAUAUGUGUAAGUAACUGUGCACCUCUUGACGGUACCUAAACAGAAAGCCCCGGCUAACUCCGU